AGUUCGGAGUUUAGUUUGAGGACAAAUAAUCGUUAAAGUCGCGGCUUCGAGCAGUUUGUAGGCGGAGGUACAGCUGUAACGGCGGGAUGGACGGGGCCCACGGUACCGGAGAGGUUUCGCAGAUUUCGGAGAAGCUGGAGAAGUCUUUGUCCAUCGACACAGAAGACGAAAUGGAAACUCACCAUAGGUUCAUUCAAGAUGGCAAAGACGCUGCCCGACAGGGAGACCUGCACAAAGCGCUGGAGUUCUUCAGACUGGCUUACAACAUUCACCACAGUCACAAACUGGAAAGCCGGAUCAAAAAAAUCGAAGAGCUCAUCGCUGAGAAUGACUUGGAGGAAGAGGAUGACGAGUUUGUUAAUGUUAACAGCAGCGGCUUAAUGCUUUUUAAAGAGCUGUAUGACAAGCUGUACGACUACCAGAGAGAUGGAGUGGCCUUCUUGUACAGUCUCUACAGAGAUGGCCGGAAAGGCGGGAUUUUAGCUGAUGACAUGGGACUAGGCAAAACCAUCCAGGUGAUAUCAUUCCUCUCUGGCAUGUACGACAAUGAGCUGGCUAAACACACACUCCUGAUCAUGCCGACUUCCCUCAUCACAAACUGGACCAAGGAGUUCUCCAAAUGGACUCCGGGCAUGAGGGUCAAGGAGUUUCACGGCAUCAGCAAAGGAGAGAGGACCAGGAAUCUGGAGAAAGUUCAGAGGAGGGGCGGCGUCAUCAUCACCACCUACACGAUGCUCUUAAACAACUGGCAGCAGCUGUCCACCUACAAUGGCAAAGAGUUCACAUGGGACUACAUGAUCCUGGACGAGGCUCACAAGAUAAAAAGCACAACCACCAAAACCGCCAAAAGUGCCUACGCCAUACAGUCCAAGAACCGAGUUCUACUCACAGGAACUCCGGUCCAGAACAACCUGAGAGAAAUGUGGGCUCUCUUCGACUUUGCCUGUCAGGGCACCCUCCUCGGCACGGCGAAAACAUUCAAGGCGGAGUACGAGAACCCCAUCACCCGGGCCCGGGAGAAGGACGCCACUCCAGGAGAAAAGGCGCUGGGAUCCCGGAUGUCGGAGAACCUGAUGGCAAUGAUAAAACCGUAUUUCCUCCGCAGGACCAAGUCCGAAGUACAGAAAAACAAAACAAACAGCACACAUAACAAGCAACACUUGGAGGACAUGGGAGACCAUGUUCCAAACCUUGAAGCAGACUCUGGAGCAGUGAUGCCCAAAUUGACGAGAAAAAACGACCUGAUUGUCUGGACUUACCUGAGUGCCGUUCAGGAGGACAUCUACAGGCAGUUCAUAUCACUGGACCACAUCAGAGAGCUCCUGCUGACCACCCGAUCGCCUCUAGCUGAGUUAAACAUUCUGAAAAAGCUGUGCGACCACCCGAGGCUCCUCUCCGCUGCCGCCAUAGCCAAGUUAGGCUUGGAGGAGAGUGCAGCUGAAUGCCAGGAGACCACAGAGGCCAACGAUCACAGCAUCACCAGCGUUCCUGAUGACACCUUGAUCUCAGAGUCUGGGAAGAUGGUCUUUCUUUUCCUUCUCCUAGAGCGGCUCAGACAGGAAGGCCACCGCACCCUCGUCUUUGCCCAUUACAGGAAGGUGCUCGACAUCAUCGAGCGCAUCCUGGGCAACAGAGGCUUCAAAGUGCUGCGGCUCGAUGGAACCAUCACUCAGAUCACAGAGCGAGAGAGGCUCAUCUCUCUGUUCCAGACUGACAACCGGUACUCUGUCUUCCUCCUCACCACCCAGGUCGGUGGAGUCGGCAUCACCUUAACAGCAGCCGACAGGGUGGUCAUCUACGACCCCAGCUGGAACCCUGCGACAGACGCCCAGGCCGUUGACAGGGCGUACCGCAUAGGCCAGACUGAAAACGUCGUCAUCUACAGGCUGAUCACCUGCGGCACUGUGGAGGAGAAGAUUUACCGCCGGCAGGUUUUCAAAGACUCUCUUAUUAGGCAGAAUACCGGGGACAAGAAGAACCCGUUUCGGUACUUCAGCAAACAGGAGUUGAAGGAGCUCUUCACCUUGGAGGACACGCGGUCCUCCUCUACACAGCUCCAGCUUCAGGCGCUACACGCCAGGCACCGGCGCACCGACCCUGAGCUAGACGAACAUAUCGCACACCUCCACACCAUGGAGAUGUUUGGGAUUUCUGACCAUGACCUCAUGUUUACACUUGACAUCAACCAUGACGAGGCCCUCGAGAACCAAGAGGAGCACCAUUACAUCGAAGGGCGGGUCCAGAAGGCUCAGGAGCUCAUGAAGGCGGAGUCCGAGCUGCAGAUGCAGCUGGCAGAGAGCAUGGUGUCCAGCACGGAGCCGGCAUGGCUCCGAUACCCAGCAGACAACAACAGCCGGGAGCGGUCCCAUGAGAAGAAACCACGAAACCACGAAAGUCCUUCAUAUCCGAAGCAGGACACAAGCCUGGCCUGGUCUCCAGCUGUGGUGGAUUUGGAACAGACUGGUUCUGGAAAGGAGGCCACUCUGGAGAAUCUCAGCAAGGGAGUGAUUGAUCUGACUGCAGAGGAGAGCACAGCCGAGGAGCAGAUCGCAGCAGAGGUCAGCCACCAUAGCCUCGCUGAGCAGAACCUGGAUUCUCCGAAACACCCGUCAGUGAAGCUGGAAAGGAGCUUGUUGGAGCCGGCAGAUCCGAUCGAGGUGUCUGUGGUGCUGAUGGAGGCUGGUGACGUAGCUGACACCUCUGUCAGAGAAGCACUCAAUGAAUCUGCGGCCGCGAGUCUGUAUGUUACAGCAGCCGAUGAAGAUGAGCAGAAGAUGAUGGGACAUUUGACCCUGAAGUACGAUGACUCCGAGAUGGAGCUGGGGUCUCCUCACGUCACUCCUCCAGAGAACAGAAGACUUUCCGCCCUGCGCGUCUCCAGUUUGAGCCUCGGAGCCGACACAUCAUCCAGAAUCGGCAGCGAGCUUGAGUCUUUGAACGGCAACUUCAACCUACAGCUGGAGGACAGCGACGCCGAUCACGACGAGGCGGUGGUGCAGGAGGAGGAGGAGCUGCAGGAGGAGCUGCUGUCUCAGCUGCAGCUGGAGGGAAGUUUCGACGUGGGUAAAUCUCUUUGUGAGUGGCAGCAGAGAGAAGCGUCAAGGCACAGCGCGAGCAACGGCCACGCCGUCAGCCUCAAUGAGUCACAUGACUCAGUCGUGGGUAUCAGGAAGAAAAAGGCUGCCGUGAUUUAUGAAAGUGAAGAGGAGACGCAGGAGGAGGAUGAUGGGCAGCUUGAGAACUCCUUCCAGGUUUCCGGAGCAUCGACGCCAAAGUCAGCGUGCACUGGCACCACGCCGCUCUGUACACGAAAGAGCAUUGGUGGAAACACGUCCGUGGCUUCUCGCCGCUCCUUCCUCCAUUCCAUCAUUGAGGACAUGGACAACCAGGACAGCUAUGAAGAUGAUGGUGAUGCUUCGGAUGUCCAUUCAGAUGAGGCCGAAGAGGACAUGAUUGGUUUGGCUCAUGAUGAGGUUGAGGAGGAGGAACCCAGUGGAGAGACUCUAAACUCAGAGGAAGAAGUUGUAGAAGAGGAGAUGGAGGAGGAAUUUGAGGAGGAACGAGACUUUGAGUCAGGAGACACUGAGGAAUGUGGAGGAGAAGGGAGCCUCCUGGAGGAAACGUCCACCGAGCCUGAGUUGGCAUCAAACGAGGCGAUGGAUCAGUGCACCGCCGAGACAGGUGUACAGGAGGUCGAGGACGAGAGCUACGACUCGCUGGUGCGGCGAGGGCGGGAGUGCUACAGCAAAGCGGAGCUGGACGAGGCCCUGGACUUCUUCCUCAGAGCCAUUGACAUCAAACCCGGAGAUCCGGAAAUUCAGCUCAUGACCAUCCAGCUGUACCGGCAGCUGAGUCAGGUGGCGAGGAGAUCCUAACAGAAAAGGACGAUCGGGGCGGCGAGGUCAAGCUCUGCCGGCCUGCUGCUUCACGCCAAAGCUGUAAAUCUUUCAAACAUCUGUGGCGUGUUCGUCUUCUCCGUGAGAUCGCGCUGAGUGACUAAUGUUUGAACAGCUCAGCUGAUUGCAGAAAGCUUCCUGUUUGAACUUCUUCUUUCAGUAAUGUAACUAGAAUCAGGUAAUGAACGGCUUCAUCUCUGAAAACAAAUCUCCUGCAGAGCGUUUGGCCUACUCAAAAGUUUUCCCCGCCCUAAAC